rnacentral:rRNA from 1 species
CCUACGGGAGGCUGCAGUGGGGAAUAUUGCGCAAUGGGCGAAAGCCUGACGCAGCGACGCCGCGUGAGGGAUGAAGGUCUUCGGAUCGUAAACCUCUGUCAGCAGGGAAGAACGGGCACUGUGCUAAUCAGCAGUGAAUUGACGGUACCUGCAAAGGAAGCACCGGCUAACUCCGUGCCAGCAGCCGCGGUAAUACGGAGGGUGCGAGCGUUAAUCGGAAUUACUGGGCGUAAAGCGGUCGCAGGCGGUAGGUCAAGUCAAGGGUGAAAUCCCCGCGCUCAACGUGGGAACUGCCGUUGAAACUGGCGAGCUGGAGUGUGUGAGAGGAUAGUGGAAUUCCAGGUGUAGGGGUGAAAUGCGUAGAGAUCUGGAGGAACAUCGGUGGCGAAGGCGACUAUCUGGCACAUAACUGACGCUGAGGAGCGAAAGCGUGGGUAGCAAACAGGAUUAGAUACCCUUGUAGUC